rfam:Picea glauca, whole genome shotgun sequence.
UACAACAUAACGUUGAUGCACCAGAUCCCAUUAUAACUCUACAGUUAAGCAUGCUUAUGCUAGAAUAGUAUUGGGAUGAGUGAGCUCCUGGGAAGUCCUAGUGUUUUAC